CCUACGGGUGGCAGCAGUGAGGAAUAUUGGUCAAUGAGCGCGAGCCUGAACCAGCCAAGUCGCGUGAGGGAAGACGGUCCUAUGGAUUGUAAACCUCUUUUGUCGGGGAGCAAAAGACGCCACGCGUGGCGUUCCGAGAGUACCCGAAGAAAAAGCAUCGGCUAACUCCGUGCCAGCAGCCGCGGUGAUACGGAGGAUGCGAGCGUUACCCGGAUUUAUUGGGUUUAAAGGGUGCGCAGGCGGAAGAUCAAGUCAGCGGUAAAAUUGAGAGGCUCAACCUCUUCGAGCCGUUGAAACUGGUGUUCUUGAGUGAGUGAGAAGUAUGCGGAAUGCGUGGUGUAGCGGUGAAAUGCAUAGAUAUCACGAAGAACUCCGAUUGCGAAGGCAGCAUACCGGCGCUCAACUGACGCUCAUGCACGAAAGUGUGGGUAUCGAACAGGAUUAGAUACCCUGGUAGUC
rnacentral:rRNA from 1 species